rnacentral:lncRNA from 1 species
UUACAACUUUUGAAGACUCAUUCUAAAACUUUAAGAUAAAAUUGAUGCACGUGAUACAUUAACACCAUUGUAGAAUUUUUCAAUAUAUAGAUAAAUAAAAUACCAACAAACAACAAAAGCACUAAAACUUAGAAUGGAAAGAGCAUAGGUUUGUAUCAUAAUUCCUAUAUCAGUUAUUUAUCUAUUUCUUUUUUUAAAUUUUGACAGCUAAACCAAAUAAUCUAACUGAACCUGCUCCCCAUGUCACUGGUUUGGUUAGGACACUUGGUUUCUUGAUCAAACUCUGUCGGUUUCGGCAAUGGAGUUCUGCAAAUGGGCACGGUUGUUAAGCUUGGACUAGAACAACUCCAACUCGGGUACAAUCGUUGGAGGAACUCGGUGUCUCUUUGCAGUUUAGUCAAGACUUCCUCAGCUGAGGUAAUGUAUGCCUCUAUUCCAUUUGCGUCUUUGGUCUCAAUAAAAAUUACUAGGUUGUUGAAGUUGAGUCCUGGCAACCUCGCGUACACCCAUGAUGGUUUUCCCCAACCAAAAUCGUUAUCAUAUAAAGGAAAUUUGCACAAACCAGUAAAUAAAGAUGUAACCUUCUCUCCUCCAUCACUACUGGUCAUGUUAUCAUGAUCAGCACCCCCUUGAAGCUUUUUGAUAUAGCCCUUAUCGAUCUUGCUUAUUGCUUCUCGAACCUGCCUUGCUAGGCCGUAGCAUUCUUCUCUAGUAUUCAACAACGAAGGAGUUGAACAUGCAAAACUGAUCAGAUUUCCAAAUGAGUGUAGCGGCAGAGGUGGAUCAAACCUGGGACGAAGGUUCACAACAUGGAUGACGCUGUGCAACUUCUCAUGAAUGCCAUCAUCAUUGGAAAUGGCUACAAAUCUGCUCCAUAUGAAAGCCGAAAGGGCUUCAACGCGUGAAGGGCGCUUCAUCG